rnacentral:rRNA from 1 species
UACGAAGGGGGCUAGCGUUGUUCGGAAUUACUGGGCGUAAAGGGCGCGUAGGCGGUAUAGUAAGUCAGAAGUGAAAGCCCUGGGCUCAACCCAGGAAUUGCUUUUGAAACUACUAUGCUAGAGGUCGAGAGAGGUGAGUGGAAUUCCCAGUGUAGAGGUAAAAUUCGUAGAUAUUGGGAGGAACACCAGUGGCGAAGGCGGCUCACUGGCUCGAUACUGACGCUGAGGCGCGAAAGCGUGGGGAGCAAACAGG